AGAGCAUACGGUGAAUGCCUAGGCGACAUGAGUGGAUGAAGGACGUGACAGGCUGCGAAAAGCCUUGGGGAGCUGCCAAGUGAGCGUAUGACCCAAGGAUGUCCGAAUGGGGAAACCCUAGCUGCUAUAUGCGGCUAAUCUCUGGCUGAAUUUAUAGGCCAGUUGAGCACAACCCGGGGAACUGAAACAUCUAAGUACCCGGAGGAAAGGAAAUCAACCGAGACUCCCUUAGUAGCGGCGAGCGAAAGGGGAAGAGCCCAAACCGAUUCUUCUUCGGAAGAUCGGGGUUGUAGGGCUGACAAUGUGGACUUGGAUCUAUAGGGGAAGCGUCUGGAAAGUCGCACCAUAGGGGGUGAUAGUCCCGUACCUGAAAUAGUGAAGAGCCUAGUCAGUUCCUGAGUACCGCAGGACACGUGAAAUCCGGUGGGAAUCUGGGGGGACCACCCUCCAAGGCUAAGUACUCCAUGUCGACCGAUAGUGAACCAGUACCGUGAGGGAAAGGUGAAAAGGACCCCGAUAAGGGGAGUGAAAGAGAACCUGAAACCGUAUGCUUACAAACAGUGGGAGCCCGAUGCUUUAUGCCGGGUGACCGCGUACCUUUUGCAUAAUGGGGCAGCGAGUUGUCCUAUGCGGCAAGGUUAAGCCGAGAGGUGUAGCCGAAGCGAAAGCGAGUCUGACAAGGGCGAUAGUCGUAUGGGGCAGACCCGAAACCGGGUGAGCUAUCCAUGGGCAGGUUGAAGCGGGGGUAAGACCCUGUGGAGGACCGAACGCACGAAUGUUGAAAAAUUCGGCGAUGACCUGUGGAUGGGGGUGAAAGGCCAAUCAAACUCGGUGAUAGCUGGUUCUCCCCGAAAGAUAUUUAGGUAUCGCGUCUUAUGAAUCCUACCGGGGGUAGAGAUACUGAAUGGGCUAGGGCCCUCACCAGGGUACCAAACCCAACCAAACUCCGAAUACCGGUAAGGACUAUAAGGCAGGCAGACUGCGGGUGAUAAGGUCCGUAGUCGAGAGGGAAAGAGCCCAGACUAGCAGCUAAGGUCCCUAAGUUAGUGCUUAGUGGUAAAGGAUGUGGAGAUGCUGAAACAAUCAGGAUGUUGGCUUAGAAGCAGCCAUCGUUUGAAGAAAGCGUAAUAGCUCACUGAUCUAGCGUCUCUGCGCCGAAAAUGUAACGGGGCUCAAGCACUACACCGAAGCUCUAGCAUCUAUUUAUAGAUGGGUAGGGGAGCGUUCUGAAGGCGUCGAAGGUUGACCGCGAGGACAGCUGGAGCGUUCAGAAGUGAGUAUGCUGCCAUGAGUAGCGAUAAAAGGGGUGAGAAUCCCCUUCGCCGAAAGCCUAAGGUUUCCACGGCCAGGAGAAUCCGCCGUGGGUUAGUCGGCUCCUAAGGUGAGGCCGAGAGGCGUAAUCGAUGGAUAGACGGGUUAAUAUUCCCGCACCGACAUAUGUGCAUUGAAGCGAGCGGGGACGGAGAAGGAUAGCCCAGCGGAUCAUGGUUAUGUCCGUGAAAGGUUGUAGGGGUGCAGCGUAGGAAUAAACGCGUUGCUUAUACCCUGAGAGCUGAAUGGCGAGGGUUCUACGGAACUCGAGUGAGGUGAUUCCAUGCUUCCAAGAAAAGCCGCGCGUGGAGUGCAUAUGUUGACCGUACCGCAAACCAACACAGGUAGGCAGGGUGAGUAUCCCAAGGCGCGUGAGAGAACUCUGGUUAAGGAACUCUGCAAAUUGGCACCGUAACUUCGGGAGAAGGUGUGCCCUCAUACCGUGAUCCACCUUGCGUGGCGUAGCGGGAGGGGGUUGCAGCGACCAGGCGGUAGCGACUGUUUACCAAAAACAUAGGUCUCUGCGAACUCGUAAGAGGACGUAUAGGGGCUGACGCCUGCCCGGUGCCGGAAGGUUAAGAGGACGUGUUAGCACUUCGGUGCGAAGCUCUGAAUUGAAGCCCCGGUAAACGGCGGCCGUAACUAUAACGGUCCUAAGGUAGCGAAAUUCCUUGUCGGGUAAGUUCCGACCUGCACGAAUGGCGUAACGACUUCCGCACUGUCUCAACCAGGGACUCAGCGAAAUUGAAUUGCCGGUGAAAAUGCCGGCUACCCGCNGCAAGACGGAAAGACCCCGUGAACCUUUACUANAGCUUGGCAGUGNUNUUUGNAUCAUUUUGUAGAGGAUAGGUGGGAGACUUUGAAGCGGGGGCGCUAGCNCUCGUGGAGUCAACCUUGGAAUACCACCCUGAAUNNUNUGNANANCUAACCUNGANCCNUGAAGCNGGNUCAGGGACANUGNCUGGUGGGUAGUUUGACUGGGGCGGUCGCCUCCCAAANNGUAACGGAGGCGCGCGAAGGUUCCCUCAGCCUGAUUGGAAACCAGGCGUAGAGUGCAAUGGCAUAAGGGAGCUUAACUGCGAGACUGACAGGUCGAGCAGGUACGAAAGUAGGUCAUAGUGAUCCGGUGGUCCCGCGUGGAAGGGCCAUCGCUCAACGGAUAAAAGGUACUCCGGGGAUAACAGGCUGAUCUCCCCCAAGAGU
rnacentral:rRNA from 1 species